CUUAGGAUAGUUUAAUUAAAAAUUUUAAUUUUGGAGAUUAAAGAUAAAGGUUUCUUUUCCUUUGA
rnacentral:tRNA from 1 species